GCCUGCGCCUUCUCCGCGGGGCGUCUGCCCGGAGUCGGGAUCUUCGUUCUUUAGAGCACCUGAGGCAAAGAACCGGGACCCGGCCUAUCGUUGGAUAAAGGGCUGGGAGUGAGAACCAUUGGAAAUGAGGCACGUAGAGCUUCAAGUGACAGGUGGCAAUCUUAAAUCUACUGGUAGAAACAUUUCUUUUUUUUUGGAACUCCUAAGCCAGCAGAGUAUGCAGUCACAGAUACAGGAAGCAAAAAUGUUGCUGAUGGUUCACUAAGGACAAUACUAAUGAGAACCACUUCCAUUUCUAUCCCUUGAUUCCUGGACCCAUGGAUCCUGGCUAUGAGAAAAGUAGCACUAUAUAUUGGAUACUGAUUCAGAGAAUAUACAGCCUCCUAGGGCACCUUGCCCCAACCUUGCAAGAUAUUACCACCUAGCUGAUGCUAUAACUGAGUUUUCAAAUGGCCAUUCAACCAUUUAUGAAGCCAGUUACUUCAGGAUGUUGGCGAACAUUAUAAGACCAGUAGAUCCCAUGAUUAUUGGCUAUGAAGUAAAUUCCUUCAUCAGAAGCAAUGCUGUGUGGAAUACCUUUACAUUAGAUAAAACUUUCUUUAAGUUGCUGGAUAGUAUUUUGGCAGAAGCAUUGUGUGCAGGGAAGGCAGAUCUAUGCUGAGAGUGUCUAUUCCAAUAAAACACUAUGGAAGCAGUAUGGUGCAAUCAGUCUACCACUGGGUAGCUGGCUAAUUGCUCCAGGGAAUGGUGGCAUAUCAAUGUUGGUCUCUGAUGCUGGCAAAUUGGGCACUUUGCCAAUUGCAAAUUGGGUAAACAGUAAUCCAUGUUGCUGAGCCCAGGCAUAAUCUCAUCCUUUAUACCAUGACUGCUUUACUUAUGAAGCAAUGGGUAAUGACGGGUGACUAAGAAAAGAGACUGACUGCUAUCCACAAAAUAAGUUUUCUUAUUUACUUGAUUAUUAAUAUAUUCCUCUGCUGAGGUCAUCCUUUGGUGAGCAUCCAUGGCGGACACAAAUAUUUUCACAUUUUUUGCCUAUUUACAAAGAUCAAUCCCUAGACCUUUUCCCCAAAUUUCCUUGUCAUUAAAUUUUUAAUUAUGUACAUUCCAAAUCCCUGACUAUUCAGCUAAACCACUGACCACAGCUCAUAGAUUGGUAUGCAGUCUCACAUCAGGCCAGUUCUCCAUCCAAAGUCAACAACCAAAUGCACUGCUUAAAGUUCCACCCUCAAAGAGGAUUUCCCUUCACCACUGAGUCAUCCUGCAAGCUUCCUGUGCUGAAAUUUUAUCCCUAUUUAAUCUGACAAUGGUGUUUAAAAGUGGGACUUUAUCGAGGUGAUUAGGAUUAGAUAAGGUCAUCAAGGAUGGAGGUCCUAUGAUUGAAUACUUGGGACUUUUAAGAGAGAGAGACCAGCCAAAGGAGAUACACAUUCCUUUUUUUGUCAUGUGAUUUCCUGAACCAUCUUGAGACUCUGCCAGCAAAGAAGGUCAUAAUCACUAGAACCUUCUCUUGACCAUUGGCCUCCAUAACCAUGUGCCAACAUAAACCUCUUUUGUUUAAGUAGUUUGUCUCAGCUAUUUCAUUAUAGUAAUGCAAAACAGACUAAAUUGUCCUUUGAGAAUGUUGCAGUAAGGGCUGUGGCAUUGCAGCUAUUCACUUUUGAGUCAUGCCUGAAUAUAGUACUUUUAUCUAUAAAUCAGACCUGAGUUUGCUCUUCCUGUCAACUGGUUGUUGGCCUCCACAAGGCCAUAGGUUUAGGCUGGCAGAGAGAAGGGAGUGUAGCAGGAGUUGGUACAAUGAGUGUUUGAGUCCCUUCUUUAUAUAUCUAACUUGUAUCUUCAGAGCUCAAGGCUGAUAACAUAUAUAUCACUCCCAUUUGAUGAUGUGCACAUACAGCUGUGGAGCUUUCUCCUGGUAUAGGUCCCCCUCAGAACUAUCAGUUUUUCAGGGCACUUGGUAAAUGGCCUGGAGUAACAUACCCAAAUGAAGAAUAUUCUGCCACUCAGAUCCAAAGAAGCCCUCUAGGUCUUGGACCUUGUUUUUGGUUAUAAGCCCUUCUGGUGUAACAAUUUAUCCUUUACUUUAGAAGGGAUACCUGGUUGUGCUCUAUACUAAGAGACUCCUAGAAAUUUCACUAAUGCACUAAUGUGGAAGGUCCCUGAAUUUUUGUCACAUUUAUUUCACGAACUCUGACAUGUAAAUUUCUUAUCAAUAAGUCUAGGAUAAUUGCUCUAUUUCUUGUUCACUAAUGACAUAAUGUCAUUAACGUAAUGUAGGAUAUCUUGUGGAAGAGAAAGGCCUUCAAGGUCCUUGUGAACUAAAUUAUGACAUAGGGCUGUAUAUUUAAUGUACCACUAAGGUAGGAGAGUGAAGGUAUAUUGCUGGCCUUGCUGAGUGAAAGAAAACUGCUUUGGUAGUCUUUUUUCUUUUAAGUGUGAAGAUAAAAAGCACUUAACAGUUCAAUAGCUACAUACCAACUACCAGAGGCUGUGUUAAUUUUCUCAAGCAACAAAACUAAUCUGGCACAGCAGCUGCAACUGGAAUUGCUACUUGAUUAAGGUUAUGAUAAUCCACAGUCAUUCUCUGAGAUCUGUUAUCUUCUUCGUGGGCUGCAUAGGUGAGCUGAAUGAGGAUGUAGUGGAAAUCACCACCCUUGCACUUGUUGAGUCCUUAAUGGUGGCACUAAUCAAUGCUAUCCCUCUAGGAAUUGCUUUUGGUUUACUAUUUUCAUAGGAAGAGGCAGUUCAAAUGGCUUCCACUUAGGGACUGGGGUUGUGACUCAGAAUUAGAGUGCUCACCUAGCAUGUGUAAGGCACUGGGUUCAAUUCUCAGCACCACAUAAAGUAAAAAAUAGAGACAUAGUGUCUACCUAUAACUAAAAAAUAAAUAUUUUUUAAAAAUGGCUUCCACUUAAUCUUUCCCACUUUCGUAUUCUUCACUCCACGGAUCAGGGAACAACAUGGAGAUUUUGCCAACCAAUGAGUUUAUCUAUUCUGGUUAUGUAUUCUAGAGUUGGAAAAAUAACCACAGGGGUGAUGGGGACCCACUGUGCCCACUCUAAGAUGGACUAGGACUAUAAUAUUAUCUUUGGGCUGCAUUUUAACUCAUUUUAUGCCAAUAUCCCUUACACUGGGUCAUUUAUAAUAAACAGAAAUUUAUUUGGCUCACAAUUGGAGGAUGGGAAGACCAAACUUGAGGGACUACAUCUGAUGAGGGCCUUCUUGCUGUGCAUUAUCGUAAGAGAAGUUGUCACAUGAGUGAGAGGGAGAAAGUAAGGGUACUGAAUUCGUGCUUAAUGAAGAUAGCCCUCAUGAUCUAAUAACUUCUUAAAAAUCCCAUCUUUCAACACUUGCAUUGGGGAUUAAAUUUCCAAUACAUGAAUGUUGGAGUACACAUACAAAAUAUCUUAGACUGAAUAGCUUAUAAACAACAGAAAAUUAUGGAGACUGAGAAGUCAGAGAUCAGGAUGCCAGCAUGGUCAGGUCUGGUGAGGACCUGCUUUCCUUAUUGCAGACUGCUGACUUCUCUCUCUUCUCACAUGGCAGAAGGGUCAAUUGAGUUCUUUUACAAGGGCACUAAUCCUAUUAAUGAGGAUUCUGCCAUUAUAACUCAAUUUCCUCCCCAGAGUCCCAUUUCUUACUACUGUCUCUUUAUGGCUUAGAAUUUCAACAUAUGAACUUUUAAGAGUCACAGACAUUCAGUCCAUAGCAAACUCCAUUGGUCACCUGACUUCCAUUAGCUCCUUUCCUGCCUGGUGACAUUUUGGUCUCCUGGAAUUAGUUUCAGUUCAGAGCCCAUGUCCAGUGAUGCCCAAAGGUCUCUAUUUUUCCCCCCUAAUGUAUAAAACUCAGUAGAAAAAGGCCAUACCAUUCUUUUGGGAAGGCUAAAGAAAAGUUAACACUAUAAGUUGUUGGCAGUUUAUUGGGAUCUUAUCUAAAAGGGAUCCAGCCUUCCUGAGUUCUGAGUCUAUAAACUGGCUCAAGUGUGGGAAUUGAUUAAGGAUUCUCAAUUUUUAUGAUUGAAGUUAGACUUUUGUCCAUGUGACCUGGAACCUUUUGCUGACACAAGUCAGUAAGAAUCUAGUUGGUCUCUAUUAUAUCACUUUUACUACUCUAUAUAUUUCAACACCAUGGUCGACCAGCCAAUGCCAUAUAUCUGCAAGAGUCAAACUAUUCUAAUUAUUGUUUCAAACUUUCUGUUUAUUAUGGUAGCCAUGCUCACCAUGUCUUUGUCAGUUGAGUGCUGCUAUUUGGUCCUUGCCCCUCUGAGAUCUAAUUGCUCCCAUUGUCCUUGUAAAUUGAAGGGUAUGUAAGUCUUAUGGGAUUGAACCUUUAACCUGUGGAAUAUAUGCUAACUCCAGAUAGUUCAUGUCAGAAUUUCCCAAUUUGGUGACUGUUGUUCCUACUAUAAAGUCUGGCAUACAGAAAGGAAUAAUCAUAGAGUCAUUAUGGUGAAAGGUGUGUCCUUUAGAUCAUUCAGAGUAGGUGAGUAGGUAUUACAUGACAAAUUUGCUCUAAUAUCCUGAUCUCCUCAAGCCUUGGAAUCCCCUUCUCUACAUUAAAUGGACACAGAUCUGGCUUUUCUAACUCACCCAUUGUGGGCAAACUUUUGAUCCAUGCUUCAGCUAACCAGCCAGUAGAGCUCUUUGUACCUCUGUCAGCUUAAAUGUAACUUCUCUGCUUUGUGGGCCUAUAUCAAUAAAUUCAGCCUAAUCCAA